rnacentral:rRNA from 1 species
AGCAGCCGCGGUAAUUCCAGCUCCAAUAGCGUAUAUUAAAGUUGUUGCAGUUAAAAAGCUCGUAGUUGAAUUUCGAGACCGGUUUAUUGGUCGUGCUUUUGUACGUACUGGUAUAAUCGGUUUCUCUCUUCUGACGAACUAUAAUGCCAUUAAUUUGGUGUUAUGGGAAAUCAGGACUGUUACUUUGAAAAAAUUAGAGUGUUUAAAGCAGGCUCACGCUUGAAUACAUUAGCAUGGAAUAACGGAAUAGGACGUUUGAUUCUAUUUUGUUGGUUUCUAGGAUCGACGUAAUGAUUAAUAGGGAUAGUUGGGGGCAUUAGUAUUCAAUUGUCAGAGGUGAAAUUCUUGGAUUUAUUGAAGACUAACUACUGCGAAAGCAUUUGCCAAGGAUGUUUUCAUUAAUCAAGAACGAAAGUUAGGGGAUCGAAGACGAUCAGAUACCGUCGUAGUCUUAACCAUAAACUAUGCCGACUAGGGAUCGGAUGAUGUUAAUUUUUUAAUGACUCAUUCGGCGCCUUACG